UUUUCUAAUCCCGCGCUCGCCUUCAUCUUCCCCAAAUUUCCCCGGCGCCGUGCAGUCGCCCCAGACCCAAAUCUCAUCUGCGCGCUUGGCUCUCUCCCCAAAUUUGUGCGCGCGCUCGACUGUCUCCCCCGAAUCUUCACCCGCCUGCCCGCUGCUCCCCUCCCAAAUCCCACGAGCCGCCAAAAUCAAAUCUCACGCCCCUCUCUACCACGUCCGCGCCCGCCAGACCUUGCAGCCCCGCCGGCCGUCGCGUCCAGGAGCCGCCGCCCACGAGAGAGCAGGAGACCGGGCGGUCCCGCACUGCGAGCGCAUCCCGGAUCCGCGCCGCCCACGGGAGAGGAGGCGCGCCGCCGCGUGCCCCCGGGGCCACGCCACCCGCGGGUGAGGAGGAGCCGCGCCGCGCCGCUCCGCCCGGGAGCAGAGCUCUGCUUGUCGCCCCACCUCCUCCAAGACGAGCACAGCAGAGCAGGAGCUGCGCCGCCAACGGGAGCUCUCCAAGACAGGGCCACCCCGUCGCUGCCCCUCCACCAGAUUGGCCUCCGCCCACUCGCAGCCCUCUGCCACCUCCAGGACGAAGAGCUCCUACACCUCAGGCUCUGACGGCUUCCAGGCUCCCUUCGAUUUCAACCGGAACUCCUUCGCCUCCCCAGCUUCAACAGUCAGGAGAACUCAAUUGUGGCCAACCAACCCUAGUCCACCACCCGGCCACAUCCACCAGCACAAGUAGCAGCACCCCCAUCCAAGAAGGCAAGAUCUAUCGAUAAAUUUGUUAUCGAAUUUAAUCCUGCAAUCUUUAGUGUGAUAAAUUGGUUCAGUCCAUAUACUGAGUUUACUAAUAUCUUGUUAAACUCGUUUGCAUGUGCAUAUUCUCUAUUGGAAAGCUCAAUAGCAUCUUGCAUGCUAAAUUUGAGUUGACUAUCUGACUUUGUAUCUCCACAUAGCCACCUCCUUGGAGCAACUAGACUCAACCUGCACAAAAGCUCACCAAGAAAUCCUGUUGAGAAUGCAGAUGAGGACAUUGGUGAAGAUCAUGAUUCCGAAUCAAUUGGAGACUUCUUAUGUGACAAUGAUGCUUCUGAUUUUUAGAAUGAAUCACAAAAGAAAAGCAAAGGAAGGGGCAUCACUAGAUUGAAUGA